AGUGGCGGACGGCUGAGUAAUGUCUGGGAAACUGCCUGAUGGAGGGGGAUAACUACUGGAAACGGUAGCUAAUACCGCAUAACGUCGCAAGACCAAAGAGGGGGACCUUCGGGCCUCUUGCCAUCGGAUGUGCCCAGAUGGGAUUAGCUAGUAGGUGGGGUAACGGCUCACCUAGGCGACGAUCCCUAGCUGGUCUGAGAGGAUGACCAGCCACACUGGAACUGAGACACGGUCCAGACUCCUACGGGAGGCAGCAGUGGGGAAUAUUGCACAAUGGGCGCAAGCCUGAUGCAGCCAUGCCGCGUGUAUGAAGAAGGCCUUCGGGUUGUAAAGUACUUUCAGCGGGGAGGAAGGCGAUAAGGUUAAUAACCUUGUCGAUUGACGUUACCCGCAGAAGAAGCACCGGCUAACUCCGUGCCAGCAGCCGCGGUAAUACGGAGGGUGCAAGCGUUAAUCGGAAUUACUGGGCGUAAAGCGCACGCAGGCGGUCUGUCAAGUCGGAUGUGAAAUCCCCGGGCUCAACCUGGGAACUGCAUUCGAAACUGGC
rnacentral:rRNA from 1 species